rnacentral:rRNA from 1 species
GAUGAACGCUGGCGGCGUGCCUAAUACAUGCAAGUCGAGCGAACAGACGAGGAGCUUGCUCCUCUGACGUUAGCGGCGGACGGGUGAGUAACACGUGGAUAACCUACCUAUAAGACUGGGAUAACUUCGGGAACCCGUAGCUAAUACCGGAUAAUAUAUUGAACCGCAUGGUUCAAUAGUGAAAGACGGUUUUGCUGUCACUUAUAGAUGGAUCCGCGCCGCAUUAGCUAGUUGGUAAGGUAACGGCUUACCAAGGCAACGAUGCGUAGCCGACCUGAGAGGGUGAUCGGCCACACUGGAACUGAGACACGGUCCAGACUCCUACGGGAGGCAGCAGUAGGGAAUCUUCCGCAAUGGGCGAAAGCCUGACGGAGCAACGCCGCGUGAGUGAUGAAGGUCUUCGGAUCGUAAAACUCUGUUAUUAGGGAAGAACAAAUGUGUAAGUAACUAUGCACGUCUUGACGGUACCUAAUCAGAAAGCCACGGCUAACUACGUG